UACGGGGGGGGCAAGCGUUGUUCGGAAUUACUGGGCGUAAAGGGCGCGUAGGCGGCCUGCUAAGUCGGACGUGAAAUCCCUCGGCUCAACCGAGGAACUGCGUCCGAUACUGGUGGGCUUGAAUCCGGGAGAGGGAUGUGGAAUUCCAGGUGUAGCGGUGAAAUGCGUAGAUAUCGGGAGGAACAUCAGUGGCGAAGGCGGCUGCCUGGCCCAAUACUGACACUCAGGUGCGACAGCGUGGGGAGCAAACAGG
rnacentral:rRNA from 1 species